UUGUGAGCUGUUGGAUUCGGGGCCGUAACACUGUCUGAGAGGGUUACAUUUCUCACAGUGAACCGGUCUCUUUUUCAGCUGCUUCCUCG
ensembl:miRNA